ensembl:snoRNA SNORA70 Small nucleolar RNA SNORA70
UUUUAGCCAGUUAAACUGAGCAGGUCCCUUUUUUGAUGGGGCCUGGUAUGCAGUGGCUGCAACAGCAGCGACUUUGGUAGUGCUUAUGUCUGUUGCCUGUAUGGGCUGCCCUAAGGGAUCUUGGAGACAUUG